rnacentral:rRNA from 1 species
UACAGAUGGGGCAAGCGUUGUUCGGAAUUACUGGGCGUAAAGGGCGCGUAGGCGGCCUUCUAAGUCGAACGUGAAAUCCCUGGGCUCAACCCAGGAACUGCGUCCGAUACUGGGAGGCUUGAAUCCGGGAGAGGGAUGUGGAAUUCCAGGUGUAGCGGUGAAAUGCGUAGAUAUCUGGAGGAACACCGGUGGCGAAGGCGGCAUCCUGGACCGGUAUUGACGCUGAUGCGCGAAAGCCAGGGGAGCAAACGGG